CCUACGGGAGGCAGCAGUGAGGAAUAUUGGUCAAUGGGCGCGAGCCUGAACCAGCCAAGUAGCGUGAAGGAUGACUGCCCUCCGGGUUGUAAACUUCUUUUAUAAAGGAAUAAAGUGAGGCACGUGUGCCUUUUUGUAUGUACUUUAUGAAUAAGGAUCGGCUAACUCCGUGCCAGCAGCCGCGGUAAGACGGAGGAUCCGAGCGUUAUCCGGAUUUAUUGGGUUUAAUGGGAGCGUAGAUGGGCUGUUAAGUCAGUUGUGAAAGUUUGCGGCUCAACCGUAAAAUUGCAAUUGAUACUGGCAGUCUUGAGUACAGUUGAGGUAGGCGGAAUUCGUGGUGUAGCGGUGAAAUGCUUAGAUAUCACGAAGAACACCGAUUGCGAAGGCAGCUUACUAAACUGCCACUGACAGUGAGGCGCGAAAGUGUGGGUAGCAAACAGGAUUAGAUACCCUUGUAGUC
rnacentral:rRNA from 1 species